rnacentral:tRNA from 1 species
GGUAGCUCAGUGGUAGAGCAUUUGCCUAAUAUGCCCAAGGCUCUGGGUUCAGUCCCCAACACA